rnacentral:rRNA from 1 species
CACGUAGGGGGCGAGCGUUGUCCGGAUUUAUUGGGCGUAAAGAGCUCGUAGGCGGCUCAGUAAGUCGGGUGUGAAAACUCCAGGCUCAACCUGGAGACGCCACCUGAUACUGCUGUGGCUAGAGUCCGGUAGGGGAGCAUGGAAUUCCUGGUGUAGCGGUGAAAUGCGCAGAUAUCAGGAGGAACACCUAUGGCGAAGGCAGCUCGCUGGGACGGUAUUGACGCUGAGACGCGAAAGCGUGGGGAGCGAACAGG